rnacentral:rRNA from 1 species
GCUCAGGACGAACGCUGGCGGCGUGCCUAAUACAUGCAAGUAGAACGCUGAAGAGAGGAGCUUGCUCUUCUUGGAUGAGUUGCGAACGGGUGAGUAACGCGUAGGUAACCUGCCUUGUAGCGGGGGAUAACUAUUGGAAACGAUAGCUAAUACCGCAUAACAAUGGAUGACACAUGUCAUUUAUUUGAAAGGGGCAAUUGCUCCACUACAAGAUGGACCUGCGUUGUAUUAGCUAGUAGGGGAGGUAAUGGCUCACCUAGGCGACGAUACAUAGCCGACCUGAGAGGGUGAUCGGCCACACUGGGACUGAGACACGGCCCAGACUCCUACGGGAGGCAGCAGUAGGGAAUCUUCGGCAAUGGGGGCAACCCUGACCGAGCAACGCCGCGUGAGUGAAGAAGGUUUUCGGAUCGUAAAGCUCUGUUGUAAGUCAAGAACGGGUGUGAGAGUGGAAAGUUCACACUGUGACGGUAGCUUACCAGAAAGGGACGGCUAACUACGUGCCAGCAGCCGCGGUAAUACGUAGGUCCCGAGCGUUGUCCGGAUUUAUUGGGCGUAAAGGGAGCGCAGGCGGUUUGAUAAGUCUGAAGUUAAAGGCUGUGGCUCAACCAUAGUUCGCUUUGGAAACUGUCAAACUUGAGUGCAGAAGGGGAGAGUGGAAUUCCAUGUGUAGCGGUGAAAUGCGUAGAUAUAUGGAGGAACACCGGUGGCGAAAGCGGCUCUCUGGUCUGUAACUGACGCUGAGGCUCGAAAGCGUGGGGAGCGAACAGGAUUAGAUACCCUGGUAGUCCACGCCGUAAACGAUGAGUGCUAGGUGUUGGAUCCUUUCCGGGAUUCAGUGCCGCAGCUAACGCAUUAAGCACUCCGCCUGGGGAGUACGACCGCAAGGUUGAAACUCAAAGGAA